rnacentral:rRNA from 1 species
UACGUAGGGAGCAAGCGUUGUCCGGAAUCAUUGGGCGUAAAGCGCGCGUAGGCGGCCCGAUAAGUCCGCUGUGAAAGUCAACGGCUCAACUGUUGGAUGCCGGUGGAUACUGUCGGGCUAGAGUACGGAAGAGGCAAGUGGAAUUCCUGGUGUAGCGGUGGAAUGCGCAGAUAUCAAGAGGAACACCUAUAGCGAAGGCAGCUUGCUGGGACGUUACUGACGCUAAGGCGCGAAAGCGUGGGGAGCGAACAGG